AAAGUCGUAACAAGGUUUCCGUAGGUGAACCUGCGGAAGGAUCAUUAUUGAUUGCGAAUCGUUGUCUUCAGUGCUGGCCAGCUCUGGCAAGUGCACGUGGGCGGCUUUUCAUCCAUACCCCUGUGAACCUUUGGCCUCUUCUAGCCUUGGCCGGCAGAGGAAUUUUUACACCCACUCGAAUGUAAUGAAAUUAUUGUUGUGCGUAAGCACUAAUGUACAACUUUCAACAACGGAUCUCUUGGCUCUCGCAUCGAUGAAGAACGCAGCGAAAUGCGAUAAGUAAUGUGAAUUGCAGAAUUCAGUGAAUCAUCGAAUCUUUGAACGCACCUUGCACCCUUUGGCAUUCUGAAGGGUAUGCUCGUUUGAGUGUCAUUGUACUCUCACACUUCUGAUCCUUUGGAUUGGGAGCGGUGGACUUGGGUGUUGCUGCUUUGCGGUGGCUCGCCUCAAAUGCCUUAGUGCAACUCUUGGUUGGACAUAGUACGGCGUGAUAAGUGUCUUCGCCGGCGCCUCGCAAGAGGGUGGCUGAUCAGGAGCUCUGUGCUUCCAACUGUCUGUCUUCAGACAACAACUGACAACUUGACCUCAAAUCGAGUAGGACCACCCGCUGAACUUAAGCAUAUCAAUAAGCGGAGGAAAAGAAACUAACAAGGAUUCCCC
rnacentral:rRNA from 1 species